GAGGGAAACAGGGAGGGAAAAUAUUUGCCUCCUGUCAUUAUUAAAAUUAAGAUUAUAGGUACACUACGUUAGCAUAAUCUACAAUUUUAUCACAUGACAGGAGGCUUCAUAUUUUGCAUUUUUAAAGCUGUGGUAUGAGCGAGAAGGAUGCGUGUGUGGUUGACGAAAAUAAAUAUACAGAAGUAGUCUAUCCGUGUCCAAUUCGUCGCUGAAAAUAUAGAGGCCCCCUCGUGAAGGCCUGAGAAGCAGCCGCGCCUCUUACCGAAUGAGUACCCAAACAC